rnacentral:lncRNA from 10 species
UCAGAACUGCAUACAUUAUUGGUGGCCUCUGGUAGAAAUACUUGUUCAUGAACACUGACGAAACAUACUGCUGAACAUACUGAUGAACAGUUGUGAAACAAUGGGAGAGUUGAAGAUUUUGCAUUAGUAUUAUAACAAAUGGAAGCAAAGAGCCAGUAAAACUUGGUUCUUACUAUUAAUGAGAUCUCAUUACACUAUGUAUUUGACAAUAUAGGAGGUAAAUAUUGUUAGCCAAGUUGAGGUUGUUUCUUUGAUUACUACAUAUGUAUGUGCAUACAUUUUUCAUUUGAAUUUUUAAAAAUAAUUAUAUAUAUUCAUAUUUAAUUAAUUUUAAAACUGUUAGAGGUAGGGCUUAUUCUCCCUAAUGUAAAGAAAAGGAAACUUAUAAAUGUUAAGUCUCUUACAGCAGCGUGG